AUGAGCAUUGAGCUCCUGUGCUGUGCGGCCUUUUCUCUCCUGUGGGCAGGUCCAGUGAAUGCUGGUGUCACUCAGACCCCAAAAUUCCAGGUCCUGAAGACAGGACAGAGCAUGACAGUGCAGUGUGCCCAGGAUAUGAGCCAUAACUCCAGUUACUGGUAUCCACAAGACCCAGGCAUGGGUCUGAGGCUGAUUCGUUACUCAGCUGCUGCUGGUGUCACUGACAAAGGAGAAGCCCCCAGUGGCUACAAUGUCUCCAGAUUAAACACAGAGGAUUUCCCGCUCAGGCUGGAGUCGGCUGCUCCCUCCCAGAUAUCUGUGUAGUUCUGUGCCAGCAGUUACUCCACAGCGCUGCAAGGCCGUCUCCUCUCUGCACAUAAAAGUAGGGCGGCUCUGCCCUC